rnacentral:rRNA from 1 species
ACAGUAGGGAAUCUUCCACAAUGGGCGAAAGCCUGAUGGAGCAACGCCGCGUGAGUGAAGAAGGUUUUCGGAUCGUAAAGCUCUGUUGUUGGUGAAGAAGGAUAGAGGUAGUAACUGGCCCCUAUUUGACGGUAAUCAACCAGAAAGUCACGGCUAACUACGUGCC